rnacentral:rRNA from 1 species
ACGGAAGGCAGCAGUGGGGAAUAUUGCACAAUGGCGGAAACUCUGAUGCAGCAACGCCGCGUGCGCGAUGAAGGUCUUCGGAUCGUAAAGCUCUGUCCUUAGGGACGAAGAAAGUGACGGUACCUAAGGAGGAAGCCCCGGCUACCUACGUGCCAGCAGCCGCGGUAAUACGUCGGGGGCGAGCGUUAUCCGGAAUUAUUGGGCGUAAAGAGUACGUAGGUGGUUUUGUAAGCGUAAGGGGAAGGCCCGGGGCUUAACUCCGGUUAGCCUUACGAACUGCAAGACUUGAGUGCAGGAGGGGAAAGUGGAAUUCCUAGUGUAGCGGUGAAAUGCGUAGAUAUUAGGAGGAACACCAGUGGCGAAGGCGACUUUCUGGACUGUAACUGACACUGAGGUACGAAAGCGUGGGGAGCAAACAGGAUUAGAUACCCUGGUA